rnacentral:rRNA from 1 species
UCCGUAGGUGGAUAAUUAAGUCAGAGGUGAAAUCCUGCAGCUCAACUGUAGAAUUGCCUUUGAUACUGGUUAUCUUGAGUCAUUAUGAAGUGGUUAGAAUGUGUAGUGUAGCGGUGAAAUGCAUAGAUAUUACACAGAAUACCGAUUGCGAAGGCAGAUCACUAAUAAUGUACUGACACUGAGGGACGAAAGCGUGAGGAGCGAACAGGAUUAGAUACCCUGGUAGUCC